rnacentral:rRNA from 1 species
UACGUAGGGCGCAAGCGUUGUCCGGAUUUACUGGGCGUAAAGAGCGCGCAGGCGGUCGUUCAAGUCGCGUGUGAAAGCCCCCGGCUCAACUGGGGAGGGUCACGCGAUACUGAUCGACUCGAAGGCAGGAGAGGGUAGUGGAAUUCCCGGUGUAGUGGUGAAAUGCGUAGAUAUCAGGAGGAACACCAGUGGCGAAGGCGGUGCUCUGGGCCGGAACUGACGCUGAUGAGCGAAAGCGUGGGGAGCAAACAGG